rnacentral:lncRNA from 1 species
GAGGUAUGCUUUUUUUCUCCCCACACAUUUGGAAUACUAGUCUAUGCUGUAGCUACUUCGUUUAUAAUCACUAGAGGCUGGGGUUGACUUCAAUUUCUGCAGUUUAAGACCCCAGCCAUUUAUAUCACAAGAAAUGAAAGCUGUUAACGAGUCAUGUGGCAGCUCCAGGACGGUGUCCUUAGACAUAGACGGUUGCAGAAAAGCCAAUAUGAUAAAAAAAGUUGUUAGCUUUGUUUACAUGGUGAUGCAAGUAUACAACCUCUGGUGUUUUUCUGGAGGAAAAUCAAAGCCAAAUGGUCGUCUAGAAUCUAGAUUAUAGACUGACCAAAUGCAAACGUACAUUCAAUGAUAUUGCUAAAUUGCCAUUGUAGAUGUUGGAAAAAAACAAUUCCAAGGCCCUCCGACUAUGUGUUGUUGAACCCUUUAUAGUAUGGUGUGAUUUGUCAAAUAUAAAUAAGCUGCUUCUCUAUUUUGCAAGUUUGGAGUGUCAACUUCCAAGUGGUGAUCUGUUUUGUCAAUUAUGUGCUAGGCUGAUGUAUUAGAUGAAUAUAAGCGUUUAUUUGGGAAAGUUGGCAUCCCGUUGGUAGGAGGCAGUCGUCUCAUGUCAUGGCUCUGGUAUAAGAAUAGUGGGAUGCUGCAAAACUGACUUGGAAAAUGAGGAACAACAAGCAUCUUGAAAAAACUAACUUAAUUAGGUUUGAGGAGUUGGGCCCGUAUAUCCACAUUUAGCAUCUCCAAUGAUAUUUGCAUAUAUGCUCUCCGUUUGUGGCUUUUUGGCUGUUGCUUGCUACUCGUAUUGUGUUGCAACGUGCUUGCAUUGAGGCUGGAGUUUGGAGAUGCUAUCUGGGAAUCUGUUCUUGUUACUGGUUCAUCCAAACUUGUAACAAGUUGAAUUGAUCGUGUUACAAUUGCAGUUUGAUGAUGCACCAAUGUUAUAUUCAUAUCACAUUUGCUCUUCACGUAUUUGUUCACGUGUGGGAUAUUGAGGAUCCUAACAAGAAUAUGGUUUUGUGAUUAGCGUAUGAGCACGACAUCAAUGUGAAACAGGAAGUUCAGUUCCCUUUUGGGGGAUGCUAUUGCCCACCCAUAUCGGUAGUGGGUUAAAUACUUGAUAGGUUUGCUAGAUCCGGAUGCUCAGCCAUAUCGGUAGCAUUCCGCGGUCUUGUCUUAGCCACUCUUCCGGAACUCCAUUAGAUCCGACGCCGCCACAAGUUCCACUGUUAAUCACUUCAGCCAAUUCAUCAGAUUAAGUUGUAAUCUAACAAUUGAGUACUUGAUUGCAACUUUGUGACUUGUGAGAGAACCAUAAGUAAUCUACAUUUGUCCUUGGUAGUGUGCGUAUGCAGGCUUAAAGAUACAAGGACUAAAAUAAGCAUGCCUGUAAAGUUCAAGUACUAAAAAGUUCACAAGAACACUCUUCUGUGGUGGGCCGAACUUGAGCUGCUUUUCUGUCUCUUUUGCUCCUUUUUUCUUUUGGCUUUUGCUAUCUAAUUAUCAGUACCGACAUUUUAGCGUAAGCAGAUUGCUCUCUGCUUCCAAUUUUCCUAUUACUUUCCUUCCGCUCCUCAAUCAAAUCGGUCUUCCUCAAUCUCUCUGUGUUUUCAAUUUCAUCUUCUGUUGACGGAUUCUGCUUCUUCCUUAUGAUCUAACCUACUACCCCCCAUCUGCUUGUUUUUUAAGCUUUGAUUGUAUCUGUUCGUGAUCAUAACUUGGUCUGAUCCACUGAAAUUACCAGGUUCUGGUGACGACACAUCUGCCGUUGAUUUUGCUUCUCGGGUUUCUUUGCAUCCCAAGGUUAGGGGCUCUUCCUGAUUCUCUUGAUGUGAACUUCACCUUUUUUUCCUUCAUGCAUGAUAACUGCUCGACGAAAUGCUUUGUUCUGCAACAUGACACUGUCUGUGCUUUCUAUAAUCUGUUUCCUCUUCGCUAUCUAUAUGGCAAGGCUGAGAAGCUUAAAUUUUCUAUGGUAUGGUACCAUCGAUUGUUGAUCGUCGAAACUAAGAACUUUCGAGGAAGUCAAAACCCUGAGUUCAACUGAUAGAUUCCGUUUGGCUUAGUAGGAGUUAUUGCUGUUUGGGCAAUCAUUUAAAACGAAAAGGAAGAAGAAAAAAGACCUCAGUCUUUUGUCUCUUUCUGCUUUGCGGUUGAUCGGUGGGCCGACUCAGAAAUUCGUGUUGGUUAUAGGUUCAAUAUUUCGCAGCUCGUAUCAAUUAUGCAUAAAGAACAGACGAAGCACAAAGUUUUCUUCUUUGUGAAAGUUCUAGGAGGCUAUUUAAUUUCUGUGGUGAUCAAAUUGAAGCCUUGUUCCAUAAUUUUCUCGUCAAUCUAUAUACCUGAAACUGUAGGGAAGCUUAUCAAAGAGAGCUUUUAACUAUCUGCCUGCAUGCGUUUUGCUGAUUGCUAAAUUUGGUGUGCAGUGCAUCUGAGGGUCUGCCACUCCCCUUUUGAGAAAAGAAAUAUGGUUUCCGCAAACAGGGAAAUGGCUGUGUAUUGCUUUGACACUCUCGUUGCUCACUAUAACAACGAGGAAGCACCCCCUCCCGCCUUUGAUGAGGGCCAACAGUAAACCCGUUCAUCCUACCCUUCCCUCUUUUGUUCCAUUGAUUUCUAGUAUUUACGGCCAUAACCAUAUGAUUGAAUAGAAUUCUGGUGUAAAUGAAGCCCCUUUUUCAGUCUCGUUGUCUUCUUAAAACCCUUUUCGAUAGGUUUCAUAGUUUAAGCUACGAUCGUGAACAAGCAUCCUCGCUUUUUCAAUGGGAACUUUUUUUUUUCUCCUAGUUGUAUGCAUAAAUCAUAAUCAUCCGGCAUUUUAUGGUAGAUGGUACCAUUGUCGAUGAUGAUGAUAACCUCUUCAGUUCAAGCAAUGAUUUCGUGUUUUGUUCUUUCAGACUUCAGAGCCUUCUUUCCUGUUUCAUAUUUCCUUGGUACUUUGAUUUCUAAUGGACUCAGUUUGCUCAUCUGGUUCUAUUAUUUGUAGUGUGGUGUGUUAGCAUUAACUUGAUCUUCUUUGCAGUCGGGUCCUCUUUCAGAAUGUAAAUUUUUUAAAUGUUAUUCUCGCAUCUUGUUCUCACAGGAAUACUUUUUAUUAUCUUUACUGUGAAUUCACUAAGCAUAACAUGUCUUUUGUUAUAAAUUUUCUCCCAGUCCAUUGUUUGUCACUUGGAAGAAAGUGGUCAAUGGUGGUGAGCCUCGUUUACGUGGAUGCAUUGGGACUUUGGAGUCUAGAUACUUGAUUAAUGGAUUCAAGGACUAUGCUUUAACCAGGUAUUGAUGAUGAUAUGUUACUCAUUUAAGAAAUAUGUUUUAAUCUGUUGCACUCAAUGUGUGACAAACAAAUGGACAUUUUCACACCUGGAAAACACCAAUAGCAGUAAACUUAGUAUGGAAAAUGUAGUAAAAACUGUAACAAACGUAAUGAAAUUUGGUGCGUUUAAAUGUUGGAGUCAGGCCUGGACUAUUUCAUCCCCAGCUGCAUCAGUUGGCUCCAGAUUAUUUUUUUCACUGAUUUAUUUGUUAAGAUUAGAUGAAUUUAUUGACAAUCAAUUAUUCUGUUGCGGAUUGUAUUUAGUGCAUUUAGAACUUCUCAUUAUACUUCGUACCUCCUUUUAGAUGAAGUUGUUGGAAGAAUAUGUGAAAAGUGGAACAUAGUUUUCUUGAUAUGGAUUAUACAUUUAUAAGAUGGUACUUGUGCUUCAUGCAUAGUCUUACACCCAUCUCGUCUGACCUUUUCAUCAGAAUUAUUUCUGAAACUAGUUUUCUUAAAUACCUGAUUUGAUUGUUUCUGGAUCUUCUCUGGCCGAUUAUCUUAUGCAUGCCUGCCUCUGAAUUCUAAUUACAAUUUUUUGUAUUGGUACAGUGCUUUAAGGGACCGAAGGUUUCCUCCAAUACAGGCAAAAGAGUUGCCUUCCCUAGAAUGUACAGUGUCUAUUCUAACUGAUUAUGAAACUGCUAACAACUAUCUUGACUGGGAGGUAUGCUUUUUUUCUCCCCACACAUUUGGAAUACUAGUCUAUGCUGUAGCUACUUCGUUUAUAAUCACUAGAGGCUGGGGUUGACUUCAAUUUCUGCAGUUUAAGACCCCAGCCAUUUAUAUCACAAGAAAUGAAAGCUGUUAACGAGUCAUGUGGCAGCUCCAGGACGGUGUCCUUAGACAUAGACGGUUGCAGAAAAGCCAAUAUGAUAAAAAAAGUUGUUAGCUUUGUUUACAUGGUGAUGCAAGUAUACAACCUCUGGUGUUUUUCUGGAGGAAAAUCAAAGCCAAAUGGUCGUCUAGAAUCUAGAUUAUAGACUGACCAAAUGCAAACGUACAUUCAAUGAUAUUGCUAAAUUGCCAUUGUAGAUGUUGGAAAAAAACAAUUCCAAGGCCCUCCGACUAUGUGUUGUUGAACCCUUUAUAGUAUGGUGUGAUUUGUCAAAUAUAAAUAAGCUGCUUCUCUAUUUUGCAAGUUUGGAGUGUCAACUUCCAAGUGGUGAUCUGUUUUGUCAAUUAUGUGCUAGGCUGAUGUAUUAGAUGAUUAUAAGAAUUUAUUAGUGUUCGGGAGCAGCUUAAGUUGAUUAAUUUGAGGACAGUUAUAAUAGCUCUUUCUUGACAUACUCUUCACUCCAGGUU